rnacentral:rRNA from 1 species
AUUGAACGCUGGCGGCAUGCCUCACACAUGCAAGUCGAACGGUAACAGGUCUUCGGAUGCUGACGAGUGGCGAACGGGUGAGUAAUACAUCGGAACGUGCCCGAUCGUGGGGGAUAACGAAGCGAAAGCUUUGCUAAUACCGCAUACGAUCUACGGAUGAAAGCAGGGGACCGCAAGGCCUUGCGCGAACGGAGCGGCCGAUGGCAGAUUAGGUAGUUGGUGGGAUAAAAGCUUACCAAGCCGACGAUCUGUAGCUGGUCUGAGAGGACGACCAGCCACACUGGGACUGAGACACGGCCCAGACUCCUACGGGAGGUAGCAGUGGGGAAUUUUGGACAAUGGGCGAAAGCCUGAUCCAGCCAUGCCGCGUGCAGGAUGAAGGCCUUCGGGUUGUAAACUGCUUUUGUACGGAACGAAAAGACUCUGGUUAAUACCUGGGGUCCAUGACGGUACCGUAAGAAUAUGCACCGGCUAACUACGUGCCAGCCGCCGCAGUAAUAC